UCCUUGGUGGCUCAGUGGUAAAGAAUCUGCCUGCAAAGCAGGAGACACAAGUUAGAUCCCUGGACCAGGAA
rnacentral:tRNA from 1 species